GGGUAGGGCUGGCUGAGAAUUGGAAGCUCCGGGCCUAGGAGGGAAGAGGGAGUUGGGAACCCGGCAGAGGAGGGCCGGGGCGGAAAUCGUGAAUCUCUGCCGAGGGAGGCCGGGCUAAGAAGGGCUGAAGCCGUGCGGAGGGACUUCGGGCAGGAGAGAGCCCAGGAGCCAAUGUGACACUGCAGAACAUGUCUACACUUGAAAUGACACAGAUGUUCCCAGAGGGUCCUAGAUGGGGAGGUAAAGUUGGCCAAGACAUGGGAGCUGCAAAGCAAGUAGAAGGAAAUGCGCAGCAACAUAACCCACAAAGAAUGGGAGAAAGAAGAGGACAGCAGCUACAGAUAGACACCAUUCUGCCUCAUAAAGCUAGCUAAGAGAAUCUGACCCGCUUAAGUAACAAAUUGAAAAUAUUAACAAAAAAUCAAUCUUGUUCGCUGUCUAACCCAGACUUUUAUGCUGGGUUAUUUGUAACUAUGCAUAUUUAUAACUACUAACAUCUAAUUCUGUUAUCUGAAAUUAUAAACUCA
rnacentral:lncRNA from 1 species